rnacentral:ncRNA from 1 species
GUCACUCUGGAGAAGCUCACGAACUGGGUGCCGAAGGGGCAAAGCGGCGCGGGACAGCGCCGCCAAUCUCUCAGGCAAAAGGACAGAGGAUG